rnacentral:rRNA from 1 species
GGGCGACCUAUCCGGGGGUCGGGCAUAGCCCGUCGAGAGACGGGGUAACUCCCGAUGACGUCGCAUGACCAAAGGUCCGCCGCCCCCGGCGGGGCCCGCGCGGUAUUAGCUGGUUGGUGGGGUGACGGCCCACCAAGGCGUAGAUGCCUGGCGGGUGUGAGAGCACGACCCGCGCCACUGGCACUGAGACACUGGCCAGACACCUACGGGUGGCUGCAGUCGAGGAUCUUCGGCAAUGCGCGAAAGCGCGACCGAGCGACGCCGCGUGCGCGACGAAGGCCUUCGGGUUGUAAAGCGCUGUCGGGGGGGGAGAAAGCCGCAUGGUUGAUCUAUCCCUGGAGGAAGCACGGGCUAAGUUCGUGCCAGCAGCCGCGGUAAGACGAACCGUGCGAACGUUGUUCGGAAUCACUGGGCUUAAAGGGCGCGUAGGCGGGCCGGACGGUCCGGGGUGAAAUCCCCCCGCUCAACGGGGGAACGGGCCCCGGGACACCGCCGGCCUCGAGGGGGGUAGGGGCGAGCGGAACGCUGGGUGGGAGCGGUGAAUGCGUUGAUAUCCAGCGGAACUCCGGUGGCGAAGGCGGCUCGCUGGACCUUUCACUGACGCUGAGGCGCGAAAGCCAGGGGAGCGAAACGGGAUUAGAUACCCCGGGUAGUCCUGGUCCCUAAACGAUGGGGACUAGGUAGUCGGCCGGCAUGGGCUGACUGCCGGAGCCAAAGUGCUAAGUCCCCCGCCUGGGGAGUAUGGCCGCAAGGCUGAAACUCAAAGGAAUUGACGGGGGCUCACACAAGCGGUGGAGCAUGUGGCUUAAUUCGAGGCUACGCGAAGAACCUUAUCCUGGGCUUGACAUGUGCGAAAGCGGGAGGAAGUACCCUCCGGAAACGGCAGGGGAACGGUACCCAGUCCGGAACCUUCCACAGGUGCUGCAUGGCUGUCGUCAGCUCGUGUCGUGAGAUGUCGGGUUAAGUCCCAUAACGAGCGAAACCCUUACCCCCAGUUGCCAGCAAACGGGACUCUGGGGGGACUGCCGGUGUCAAACCGGAGGAAGGUGGGGAUGACGUCAAGUCCUCAUGGCCUUUAUGCCCAGGGCUGCACACGUGCUACAAUGGCGUGGACAGGGGGACGCGAGCCCGCGAGGGGGAGCCAAUCCCGGAAAGCACGCCCCAGUUCAGAUCGCGGGCUGCAACUCGCCCGCGUGAAGCCGGAAUCGCUAGUAAUCGCGGGUCAGCAACACCGCGGUGAAUGUGUUCCUGAGCCUUGUACACACCGCCCGUCAAGCCACGAAAGGGGGGAGCGCCCGAAGUCGCCUUCACCGGCGCCGAAGGCGAACCCCCUUUUGGACUAAGUCGUAACAAGGUAACC